rnacentral:rRNA from 1 species
CAGCCGCCGCGGGAAAACGAAGGGGGCUAGCGUUGCUGAAUGACUGGGCGUAAAGGGCGCGUAGGCGGCGGCCAAAGUCAGGCGUGAAAUUCCUGGGCUCAACCUGGGGGCUGCGCUUGAUACUUGGUUGCUUGAGUGGGGAAGAGGGUCGUGGAAUUCCCAGUGUAGAGGUGAAAUUCGUAGAUAUUGGGAAGAACACCGGUGGCGAAGGCGGCGACCUGGUCCUUGACUGACGCUGAGGCGCGAAAGCGUGGGGAGCAAACAGGAUUAGAUACCCCGGUAGUCCCUGUCUCUUAUACAC